UAAAGCAACUUGGAGUAAUUAAUUAGUUUGAUGAGAUGGAUAAGGCACUCGAUGAAGAGGCAAAUCAACUGGGACGUAAUUAAGCACAUGUCUGAAGUCCUUUCAAGACAUUAAAAUGCUAUUAAUUUAUACUGCUGAAUCUGGACAUCAACUCUAGAAACUCUGGUUGAACCAAGUAAUGGAAAUGCAGUCACAGAACCUUGAAGUCUUCUGUCGUCUCAAUCGGUAUACAGGAUGUUCAGCUGGAAGCAGACAAUGCUAGUUUUCAGUCAUCAAUGAAGAUGAGAGCACGAAAGAGCAUUUUAUGCGAAAAGGCAACAGAAUUUCCAUGUUUCCUCCCACUCCGACACCUGCCAAAUAGUGAAAAGAAGAGGUGUAAAGCAAAGAUAAAUGGAUGUUGCAGAGAAGGAUUGGUAGAUGAAGCGCAGAGAGUUUUCAGAACUUCCUGCAUUAAUAGAUCAUGAAUGUGGCUGAUUCCUCUACCGUGGGCUUACUUUGAUGCUUCCCAUUCGUGGGGUUUUGUUUUACACUUGUAUUUGAUUUUCCAGAGAGGUUAUAUUACGUAAAUUUUAUAUUACUCAAAGAUGAUAGAAAAAUUCUCUUCUUUAUACUUGUUUCAUAAAUAUUAGUAGUUACGCCUGAGCUUCGGAAAGCCAAAACACACUUCCAAACACAGUCCACAUUCAUUACCAAGCACAACCUUAGGCCUAGUAGUUGAAUGCAUAUCAUGCUUCCUCUUUUUUUCUCCUAAGAAAUUAAAACCCAAAGAAGAAAAAAUCAUUCUUCUAUAAUCUUAUGACUUAUCCUGGUCAAAGAUGGUGGGCAUGCUACGUGUUACUUCAGAUGGAAUCUAGUCUGAAAAGAAUAUUAAUGUAUUUGGAGAGGAUAAGGUUAAAAAAAGGACUGGUGAUCUUGACUAUCACAUUUGAACUUGGCAGGCAAGCAAGCAACUUAGAACAUACCACGAUACCAUGAAUAAUUAGCAUACACACAUGUAACUAUACUUAAGCAAUGACAUCAUAUGGUACUGAUCAUCGUCUUUGAUUACACUGUCAAUCAGCAGCUAUAAAUAGGUGCUACUACCCCAUUUCCUUAUUCACCACAACAGCUUAAGAAAGAGAGAUCGGUUGAGCUAAGAAAAGAUCAUCGCUUUAUUUGGAGAUGGAGGACAGAGUGACUCUAUUGGAUUUCUGGUCAAGUUCAUGGGCAGUGAGAGUGAAGGUUGCCUUGGCAGAGAAGGGGAUAGAAUACGAGUCCAGGGAACAGAACUUGAUAGACAAGUGCCCUCUGCUUCUUGAAAUGAACCCGGUUCAUAAGAUGAUUCCAGUUCUUAUUCACAAUGGGAAGCCCAUUUGUGAGUCACUUAAUAUUGUCCAAUAUAUUGAUGAGGUGUGGAAGGACAAGUCUCCAUUGCUACCCUCGGAUCCUUACCAAAGAUCCCAAGCCAGAUUCUGGGCUGAUUACAUUGACAGGAAGGCGAGUAUUUCAGUACUUGUUUAAUUCGUUUUUUGUUUUUCUCGUGUGUGUGUGCUUAUUGUUUAUUUGAACGCAGAUAUAUAACAAUGCCAAGAAGUUAUGGAAGGAGAAAGGAGAAAAGCAAGAAGAGGUAAAGAGGGAAUUUAUAGAAGGCUUGAAGACUCUUGAAGGAGAGCUUGGAGAUAAGCUUUACUUUGGUGGUGAAAGCUUUGGAUUUGUGGAUGUAGUGCUUGUUCCUGUUACCAGCUGGUUUUACUCUCUUGAGAUAUGUGGGAAAUUUAGCAUUGAGGCUGAGUGUCCAAAGAUCACUGCAUGGAUCAAGAGGUGCAUGGAAAAGGAGAGCGUGUCCAGUUCACUUCCUGAUCCUCACAAGAUCUAUGACUUCGUAUUGCUGCUUAAGCAGAAAAUGGGUAUAGAGUAGGCUGUCAGGCUUUGAAUAAUGAGUGAAGGCAUUCCUGAUAGAAUGCCGGAAGCAAGAAUGGGAAAUGGAAUGAAGUUUGGGGAUGAAAAUAGAUUGAUGUUAUGUAAUAAGUUAUAAAGUUUAGCACUUAAUGCUGAUAAUUUUUGCUGUGAUUAGAGUUUUAAUCCAUUAAUUUGGAAAGUAACUAAGUAUCUGUUUGGAAACGAGGCGGUGUAACCUAUAUUUCCAAAUGAAAAGCAUCAAUUUUAAGUGAAAAACGAAGCCUAAAUUGAGUGCAAAACUUCCAAGCAAUAUGUAGAUGGGCAGAGAUCUCGAACAGAAACAUGGAGUUACAUGUGAAAUCCAGAAAAAGCAAAAUUUAUCGAUUUUUCAUUAAACAAAAAAAAUAGAAAAGAAAAGAAAACAUCAGCUGAGCUUGACACAGUGGACAUUUUCUUAGUCACCAUACUUGUGAAUAAAAGUCGGGCCUCGCCACUAGCCAGGGGCUGCCCUUGUCCUCUUCCCCACCAAAAGUUUUCAAAUCCCUUAAAAAUCUAAAAGUUUUAGGGAGUAACUUGUACAAAAUGGCCCUCCAUAAUCACAAGUACACAUUCUAACCCUCCCAGCAUUAGAACUUUGGAUUCAUCCUUGAUACUUCUGUAUACAAGAACUAAGCUCCUCGGUUUUGGCAGCUACAUUAAGCAGUGAAGCAGCUUCGAGAUUGGGCUGUUCGAAUACAGCAUACAUAUGGUGAAGGAAAACCGGUAUGCAUAUUAACUUUAACUUGCUAAUAUCAUCUUGUUAAGAAAACAAAGUCUUCAGGACCUAAUACACUCUGAUAUUAUCAUGCACGAUUUAUUAAUUAUAUUCAGAUAAAAGUAAUCACUCUGACCCUCUCGAGAUUUGAACGUUAUUCAACUUUUCAUUUAUAGUUUCAGAAAUUACAGAGGGAAAGUGAAACUACAUUCAAGUUUUCGGAGGAGACAGUAAUUUUUCCAUAUAUAUAUUACAUGUUGAGCCACCAUCGGUGUAUAAUUAAUUAAUUAUUAAUUUGCAAGUGCAUGUCUUAAAUAUAAUUAAGGUACUGGUGUAGGUUACAGAUUAAUGAAAAUCGAAUGAUCACCAAGAGCCAUUUGAUUUCUUGCAGCUUCACAAUAUUAUUCGAUCAUAUUUUAGCCUUGUCAAAGAUGGUGUCGUCACUUUCGUAAGCAUGCAUGCUGUUUUAGAUGGUGACAGUAACACAAAUAAUAGAGAAUAUGAAGCAUACUCUAAGGUGGAAAAUGAUAAGCUUAAAAUAAAGAAUAAGCAGCUUUCUCAGGGUUCCUUUUUUCUUCUUGUUGUUUUCAUGACUCCUUAAUUUUUUUAUAUUCCAAAUUCUGAAGGUUGGAUCUAAGCAAUGAAGCCAUGCCUGAUUGUUUACUUGCUUAUCAGCACUAUACAGCUCGAGCUCAAAUUUGUCAAAAAGAUCAACCGCGGAAGAACUGGUCCUGCUUGAUUUAUGGGCAAUGCACUUAGGUACGUCUGGUUAGCAUCUCAGGAUAUAAAAAAAAUACACACAUUAAAAAUAUAUAUAUAUCUCUAAGAAAAUUUUCUAUCUUUAUUAUCUUCGUUUUCUAUGAGAUUUGGUUAAUUACAAGUAUAUAUACAGUAGGAGAUUUGGUUAAUUACGAAGCUGCUACUUCUUGCUUGUUACCUUGUUGUAAUGCAUGAAGAUAUACAGGAAAAGGCUAUGGAGUUAUAAGAGCUAGAGGAAAAAAGGUAAGCAAAAUUAAUUUAAGGCUUGAGGACCCUGGAAAAAGAGCUUGGAGAGAAGCUUGGAAUUUUUUGGUGGGGAGACCAUUGGAUAAAUAGUUAAACAAGAGGUUUUCUCCCAUUCAUAACUUUUUUGAGUUUGAUUACUUUAAUAAUUUAUUUUUUUAACAGUUUGUUUGGAAAAAAAAAUUUACUGUAAUUAAAUUUAAUUGUAGUGUUUAAUUUAAAUUUAAUUGAUAAAUAAAUUGAAUUUAUAUAUUUGAAAAAGAAGUGAAAUCAAUUCAUUUUGUUUCUUACAUUACAUUCAUUUUAUUUCUUCAAAGAUCUUUUUAAAAAAAGAUUGAUAAAUUGGUGUUUUAGAAAAGCUAGUUUUAACAUUUAUCUUCCGAAUGAAACUAAGUUCUUUGCUGCCAAAAGCGCUGUUUCUAUGAAUGAAUGUCCGUAAAGAAACUUGGAGUAAUUAGUUUGAUCAGAUGGAUAAGGCACUCGAUGAAGAGGCAAAUCAACUGGGACGUAAUUAAGCACAUGUCUGAAGUCCUUUCAAGACAUUAAAAUGCUAUUAAUUUAUACUGCUGAAUCUGGACAUCAACUCUAGAAACUCUGGUUCAACCAAGUAAUGGAAAUGCAGUCACAGAACCUUGAAGUCUUCUGUCGUCUCAAUCGGUAUACAGGAUGUUCACCUGGAAGCAUACAAUGUUAGUGCUCC
rnacentral:lncRNA from 1 species